AUGCAUGUCUAAGUAUAAGCAAUUAUACGGCGAAACUGCGAAUGGCUCAUUAUAUAAGUUAUCGUUUAUUUGAUAAUACUUUACUACUUGGAUAACCGUGGUAAUUCUAGAGCUAAUACAUGCUAAAAAUCCCGACUUCGGAAGGGUUGUAUUUAUUAGAUUAAAAACCAAUGCCCUCUGGGCUCUCUGGUGAAUCAUAAUAACUUGUCGAAUCGACAGGCCUUGUGCCGGCGAUGGCUCAUUCAAAUUUCUUCCCUAUCAACUUUCGAUGUUUGGGUAUUGGCCAAACAUGGUGGCAACGGGUAACGGAGGGUUAGGGCUCGACCCCGGAGAAGGAGCCUGAGAAACGGCUACUACAUCCAAGGAAGGCAGCAGGCGCGCAAAUUACCCAAUCCCGACACGGGGAGGUAGUGACAAUAAAUACUGAUACAGGGCUCUUUUGGGUCUUGUAAUCGGAAUGAGUACAAUUUAAAUCCCUUAACGAGGAACAAUUGGAGGGCAAGUCUGGUGCCAGCAGCCGCGGUAAUUCCAGCUCCAAUAGCGUAUAUUAAAGUUGUUGUGGUUAAAAAGCUCGUAAUUGAACCUUGGGCCUGGCUGGCCGGUCCGCCUCACCGCGUGCACUGGUCCGGCCGGGCCUUUCCCUCUGUGGAACCCCAUGCCCUUCACUGGGUGUGGCGGGGAAACAGGACUUUUACUUUGAAAAAAUUAGAGUGCUCCAGGCAGGCCUAUGCUCGAAUACAUUAGCAUGGAAUAAUAAAAUAGGACGUGCGGUUCUAUUUUGUUGGUUUCUAGGACCGCCGUAAUGAUUAAUAGGGACAGUCGGGGGCAUCAGUAUUCAAUUGUCAGAGGUGAAAUUCUUGGAUUUAUUGAAGACUAACUACUGCGAAAGCAUUUGCCAAGGAUGUUUUCAUUAAUCAGGAACGAAAGUUAGGGGAUCGAAGACGAUCAGAUACCGUCGUAGUCUUAACCAUAAACUAUG
rnacentral:rRNA from 1 species